GGGGGCACAAGUGCCUAACUAGUAACUACCCAUUUGCUUGCUUAUAGCUCCGAGUCCGCACUCCAAAACCCGAAGCCCGCUUUUCGUUGGCUCUCCCCGGAACUUGGCUUACUCUGGUCUGGAGCUCUUGAAUAUGAAGUUUCUUGAUUGGUAUUUGAAGAUCGCAUUUGGGUCGGCUCUGAUUGGAGCUUCCAUGGAGUUCUUCAUGAUUAAAACCGGCUUCUAUGAUAAAGUAACAGUUCUGGAGUCUGAAAAACGGGCUUGGGAGAGUUCACCAGAGGCUCAGGCGGUCAGAGAAGCUCUCAAUCCUUGGAGAAAUCAUGAUGUAGAAGCAAAGAAAGAAUCCUAAGUUAGAUGGGCUUGUUCUCAAAAAGGAAGAAGAUUACUCACGCAGGAUAGUUUUUGAGACAUACUUCCAAAGUAGGACAAGUGGGAGGUGGCCUUGAUCAUCCUAAACAAUUGUUUCAUUCCAUUUGAAGUUUUGUAAUUUCUAUUAUUCUUGUCAUGGGAAAAACACAGUUUUUCAAUAUAUUGUUUUGAAUACAGAAGGUCGAUCCUCAGUGCAGUGUUCAUGGAAGAAAACACAUUCCCGUAACUUGGGUUUUAAUGAUUUUUUGUAUCAUAUAUCCCUGUUGUAGAACACUGAUCUAUCUGAGAAACUAGAAAUUUUAUAUUUACCCGCC